rnacentral:rRNA from 1 species
UACGUAGGGGGCAAGCGUUAUCCGGAUUUACUGGGUGUAAAGGGAGCGUAGACGGCAAUACAAGUCGGAAGUGAAAUACCCGGGCUCAACCUGGGAACUGCUUUGGAAACUGUAUGGCUGGAGUGCUGGAGAGGUAAGCGGAGUUCCUAGUGUAGCGGUGAAAUGCGUAGAUAUUAGGAGGAACACCAGUGGCGAAGGCGGCUUACUGGACAGUAACUGACGUUGAGGCUCGAAAGCGUGGGGAGCAAACAGG